AUGUAAAAAAACACGUUGUUAGCGCUCAAAGUAAGACUAAUUUUUCCUCACUUUUUCCUCGCUGUUUGCAGUGUGGAUUCCUCUUAUAAUUAUGAAAUGUUUCACAGAAAUAAACUUUUGGGAUCAAUAUGAUUUUACGAACGUCAAAUAGGAAGUUACCUCGGCGUACAUGUCUCAGCGCACCUACGCAAAAUUACAAUUAAAUCGAGCCCACUAAGCCCAAAUAAAUGCACCGAUGUCAUAUUUGAAUUGACACCGUUUCAUCCAAAACAAAGAUGUCUAGCAUAUGUUUUUAUGACUGAGCUACCAUGUGUUCUUGUGUUCCUUAAUUAAAAGCCAGUUUAAAUUUUUCGACCAUUUCCCCCCAUUCUUCAGAGGUGUCCCAAAGUGAAGUGACAGACCACCUUAAUUCAACGACAUGAAGACCAAUGAACAGCCAGGUUACAGUCGUCUGGAACAGAACAACAUGGACGAUGAGCUGAAAGAUUCCAAAAAGGAAGAGAAUAUACGAGCGAAAAUUUGUAAAAGAAGUUUCUCAUCCAUGAUAUCCAAUGUCAUAAUCAACAUCAUCCUCGCUCUCAUGUUUGCUGCUCUUAUCUUGUCUUUUUUACCAAUGGUGUUGUGAGAUUUGAAUAAAUAUUUGGGGAUGACAAACAGUGUUACAGGGACUGAAUAAAUUAUGAAGGCAAGAAUA